GAGAAACCAAGUCCCCAUCCAACCUGGCAGCACAGUGCAAAUCUAAAAGGGAGCCCAGGUCAAAGAUGGACACCAUGAUGGUAUGGACUCUUUCAAGAAAGUUAGGUCUACUAUGAGGUCAAAAUAAUGUGUUGAAAGUCAAGCAACUGGUUGGAAUUAGUUUCUAAUUGAACUUGGAAACUCAUUGAUGAUUAUCCUAUCAAUAUAUGAACUCUUCUUGUGAGUUCUCUUAAAACAUCAGGAAAAUCAUGUUCAAGAAACAACUAUGAAUG